UACGUAGGGUGCGAGCGUUAAUCGGAAUUACUGGGCGUAAAGCGUGCGCAGGCGGUUUUGUAAGACAGGCGUGAAAUCCCCGGGCUUAACCUGGGAACUGCGUUUGUGACUGCAAGGCUAGAGUACGGCAGAGGGGGGUGGAAUUCCACGUGUAGCAGUGAAAUGCGUAGAGAUGUGGAGGAACACCAAUGGCGAAGGCAGCCCCCUGGGUCGAUACUGACGCUCAUGCCCGAAAGCGUGGGUAGCAAACAGG
rnacentral:rRNA from 1 species